rnacentral:rRNA from 1 species
GACAGAGGAGCCAAGCGUUGUCCGGAUUGACUGGGCGUAAAGCGCACGCAGGCGGACGCGCGCGUGGGGGGUGAAAUCUGGCCGCUUAACGGCCAGGCGCCAUCCCAUACGGCGCGUCUGGAGUGAUGCAGAGGUCGAUGGAAUUGCCGGUGUAGUGGUGAAAUGCGUAGAGAUCGGCAGGAACACCCAGGGGGAAACCAGUCGACUGGGCAUCUACUGACGCUGAUGUGCGAGAGCGUGGGGAGCGAACCGG